GACGAACGCUGGCGGCGUGCCUAACACAUGCAAGUCGAGCGGAGAUAAGCGGAUGGUAACUGAAGCUUAUCUUAGCGGCGGACGGGUGAGUAACACGUGGGCAACCUGCCUUGAAGUGGGGGAUAACACCGGGAAAUCGGUGCUAAUACCGCAUAACAUACACAAACUGCAUGGUAAGUGUAUCAAAGGAGCAAUCCGCUUUAAGAUGGGCCCGCGGCUGAUUAGCUAGUUGGUAAGGUAACGGCUUACCAAGGCGACGAUCAGUAGCCGACCUGAGAGGGUGACCGGCCACACUGGAACUGAGACACGGUCCAGACUCCUACGGGAGGCAGCAGUGGGGAAUAUUGCGCAAUGGGGGGAACCCUGACGCAGCAACGCCGCGUGGAGGAAGAAGGUCUUCGGAUUGGUAAACUCCUGUCUUCUGGGACGAAUAAUGACGGUACCAGAGGAGGAAGCCACGGCUAACUACGUGCCAGCAGCCGGGUAAGAGUCACGUCG
rnacentral:rRNA from 1 species